GUGGGGAAUCUUGCGCAAUGGGCGCAAGCCUGAUCCAGCCAUGUCGCGUGAGUGAUGAAGGCCUUCGGGUUGUAAAGCUCUUUAGUCCACGAAUAUAAUGACUGUAGUGGAAGAAUAAGCCCCGGCUAACUUCGUGCCAGCAGCCGCGGUAAUACGAAGGGGGCGAGCGUUAUUCGGAAUCGCUGGGCGUAAAGCGUGCGUAGGCUGUUUUGUAAGUCAGAAGUGAAAGCCCAGGGCUUAACCCUGGAAUUGCUUUUGAAACUACAAGACUCGAAUUCGGGAGAGGAUAGCGGAAUUGUCAGUGUAGCAGUGAAAUGCGUAGAUAUUGACAGGAACACCAGUGGCGCAAGCGGCUAUCUGGACCGAUAUUGACGCUGAGGCACGAAAGCGUGGGGAGCAAACAGGAUUAGAAACCCUUGUAGUCC
rnacentral:rRNA from 1 species